GUUUGAUCCUGGCUCAGGAUGAACGCUAGCGGCAGGCCUAAUACAUGCAAGUCGAACGGUAACAUGUCCUUCGGGAUGAUGACGAGUGGCGCACGGGUGCGUAACGCGUAUGCAACCUACCCAUUACAGAGGGAUAGCCCCGAGAAAUCGGGAUUAAUACCUCAUAAUAUCACAUGACCGCAUGGUCGAGUGAUUAAAACUCCGGUGGUAAUGGAUGGGCAUGCGUAACAUUAGUUUGUUGGUGAGGUAACGGCUCACCAAGACUACGAUGUCUAGGGGUUCUGAGAGGAUUGUCCCCCACACUGGUACUGAGACACGGACCAGACUCCUACGGGAGGCAGCAGUAAGGAAUAUUGGACAAUGGGCGAAAGCCUGAACCAGCCAUGCCGCGUGAAGGAUGACGGCCCUACGGGUUGUAAACUUCUUUUAUACAGGAAGAAAAUACCUUACGUGUAAGGUACUGACGGUACCGUAUGAAUAAGCAUCGGCUAACUCCGUGCCAGCAGCCGCGGUAAUACGGAGGAUGCAAGCGUUAUCCGGAUUUAUUAGGUUUAAAGGGUCCGCAGGCGGACUUUUAAGUCAGUGGUGAAAUCCUGCAGCUUAACUGCAGAACUGCCAUUGAUACUGAAAGUCUUGAGUGUGGUUGAGGUAGGCGGAAUGUGUUGUGUAGCGGUGAAAUGCUUAGAUAUAACACAGAACACCGAUUGCGAAGGCAGCUUACUAAACCACUACUGACGCUCAUGGACGAAAGCGCGGGGAGCGAACAGGAUUAGAUACCCUGGUAGUCCGCGCCGUAAACGAUGAUCACUCGUUGUGCACGAUACACAGUGCGUGACUGAGCGAAAGCAUUAAGUGAUCCACCUGGGGAGUACGUUCGCAAGAAUGAAACUCAAAGGAAUUGACGGGGGCCCGCACAAGCGGAGGAACAUGUGGUUUAAUUCGAUCAUACGCGAGGAACCUUACCCGGGCUUAAAUGUAGAAUGACUGCUCCCGAAAAGGAGCUUUCUUCGGACAGUCUACAAGGUGCUGCAUGGUUGUCGUCAGCUCGUGCCGUGAGGUGUUGGGUUAAGUCCCGCAACGAGCGCAACCCCUAUCUUUAGUUGCUAGCAGGUAAUGCUGAGGACUCUAAAGAAACUGCCGGUGCAAACCGUGAGGAAGGUGGGGACGACGUCAAAUCAUCACGGCCCUUACGCCCUGGGCUACACACGUGCUACAAUGGCGAGUACAAAGGGCAGCUACCUGGUGACAGGAUGCUAAUCUCUAAAGCUCGUCUCAGUUCGGAUUGAAGUCUGCAACUCGACUUCAUGAAGCUGGAAUCGCUAGUAAUCGCGCAUCAGCCAUGGCGCGGUGAAUACGUUCCCGGGCCUUGUACACACCGCCCGUCAAGCCAUGGAAGCCGGGAGUGCCUAAAGUCGGUGACCGCAAGGAGCCGCCUAGGGUAAAACUAGUAACUAGGGCUAAGUCGUAACAAGGUAACCGU
rnacentral:rRNA from 1 species